CUAAGGAGGGAACUGUAAGUCUUGACACUCAAAGUUGUCUCUUAUUAGUGCAGAUGUUGCUCCUGGUAUUCAUUAUAUUUUCUCUUCUAAGAGAGAAUGCUGCUGCAGAUGCGCCAACACCAUUCUUCACAGAGAAGCAUGUUUUGGAAGGAAAAUAUGUUACACUGAUCUGCAACUACACUGGCAAUGUUCAGAAUUUGCAGUGGUACCGUCAGUAUCCCGGAUCCAAACCUGAGAACAUAAUUUUAUACUUUGAAAACAGCCCCAAAUCCGAGCCCUCUCUCCGUCUGACCGCUGUAGCUGAUAGAGUCAUCAAACAUAUGAAUCUGACAAUCUCUUCUACAGAAGUCAAAGACUCUGCCAUGUACUAUUGUGCCCUGCAGCCCACAGUGACAGGAAACACAACUCCACCCUACAAAAACUGAGUGAUAAAUCAUAUUUAAGCCAGAAGACCAUUAAGCCCAUCAUGAUGCACAAUGUGGAUUUAAAAACAUCAGCACUGUACAACUAUCAAAUGUUUCAAGCAUCAAUGGGCUUUUCAUAUCUAUAUUAAUGGUUAAUAUUUCAGGG